rnacentral:rRNA from 1 species
CAAGUCGAACGCGAAAGUCCCCUUCGGGGGACAAGUAGAGUGGCGUCCGGGUGAGUAACACGUAGGUAAUCUACCUUCGGGUGGGGAAUAACGCAGGGAAACUUGCGCUAAUACCGCAUAAUGCAGCGGCACCACAUGGUGACAGUUGUUAAAGCGGGGGAUUUUCGAACCUCGCGCCUGAAGAGGAGCCUGCGGCAGAUUAGCUAGUUGGUAAGGUAAUGGCUUACCAAGGCGACGAUCUGUAACCGGCCUGAGAGGGCGGUCGGUCACACUGACACUGACAUACGGGUCAGACUCCUACGGGAGGCAGCAGUCGGGAAUUUUGGGCAAUGGGCGAAAGCCUGACCCAGCAACGCCGCGUGAAGGAUGAAAUCCUUCGGGAUGUAAACUUCGCAAGAAUGGGAAGAAUGAGUAGGGGCUAAUACUCCCUAUGAUGACGGUACCAUUUGUAAGCUCCGGCUAACUCCGUGCCAGCAGCCGCGGUAAUACGGGGGGAGCAAGCGUUGUUCGGAUUUACUGGGCGUAAAGGGCGCGUAGGCGGCCAGCGCAAGUCAGUUGUGAAAUCUCCGGGCUUAACUCGGAACGGUCAACUGAUACUGCGCGGCUAGAGUGCGGAAGGGGCAACUGGGAUUCUCGGUGUAGCGGUGAAAUGCGUAGAUAUCGAGAGGAACACCUGCGGCGAAGGCGGGUUGCUGGGCCGACACUGACGCUGAUGCGCGAAAGCCAGGGGAGCGAACGGGAUUAGAUACCCCGGUAGUCCUGGCCUUAAACGAUGGAUGCUUGGUGUCUGGAGUUUUAUAGUCUCCGGGUGCCGCAGCUAACGCGUUAAGCAUCCCGCCUGGGGAGUACGGUCGCAAGACUGAAACUCAAAGGAAUUGACGGGGACCCGCACAAGCGGUGGA